AAACUGGGAUUAGAUACCCCACUAUGCUUAGCCCUAAAUCUUGAUGUCUUCCCCCCAUACCAGAACAUCCGCCCGAGGACUACGAGCACAAACGCUUAAAACUCUAAGGACUUGGCGGUGUCCCAAACCCACCUAGAGGAGCCUGUUCUGUAAUCGAUAACCCACGUUACACCCAACCGCCUCUUGCCAAGUACAGCCUAUAUACCGCCGUCGCCAGUUCACCUCUCCUGAGAGCCCAGUAGUGAACGUAAUAGCCUAAACCCGCUAGUAAGACAGGUCGAGGUAUAGCCUACGAGGCGGAAGAAAUGGGCUACAUUUUCUAAAAUAGAAAAUUCCACGGAAGGGGGCGUGAAAUCGCCUUCUGAAGGCGGAUUUAGUAGUAAAGUUAGAUAAUUUAAGCUCUCUUUAAACUGGCUCUGGGACACGUACAUACCGCCCGUCACCCUC
rnacentral:rRNA from 1 species